UACGUAGGUGGCAAGCGUUGUCCGGAUUUACUGGGCGUAAAGGGCGCGCAGGCGGUCGUUCAAGUCGCGUGUGAAAGCCCCCGGCUCAACUGGGGAGGGUCACGCGAUACUGAUCGACUCGAAGGCAGGAGAGGGUAGUGGAAUUCCCGGUGUAGUGGUGAAAUGCGUAGAUAUCGGGAGGAACACCGGUGGCGAAGGCGGCAUCCUGGACCAACACUGACGCUGAGGAGCGAAAGCCAGGGGAGCAAACGGGG
rnacentral:rRNA from 1 species